rnacentral:rRNA from 1 species
UACAGAGGGUGCUAGCGUUGUUCGGAAUUAUUGGGCGUAAAGGGCGCGUAGGCGGCCUGGCAAGUGGAAGGUGAAAUCCCUCGGCUUAACCGAGGAACUGCCCUCCAAACUGCUUGGCUUGAGUCCGGGAGAGGUGAGUGGAAUUCCCAGUGUAGCGGUGAAAUGCGUAGAUAUUGGGAGGAACACCAGUGGCGAAGGCGGCUCACUGGACCGGAACUGACGCUGAGGCGCGAAAGCGUGGGGAGCAAACGGG